AACGAACGCUGGCGGCAUGCCUAACACAUGCAAGUCGAACGAGACCUUCGGGUCUAGUGGCGCACGGGAGCGUAACGCGUGGGAAUCUGCCCUUGGGUUCGGGAUAACAGUUGGAAACGACUGCUAAUACCGAAUGAUGACUCCGGUCCAAAGAUUUAUCGCCCAGGGAUGAGCCCGCGUCGGAUUAGCUAGUUGGUGAG
rnacentral:rRNA from 1 species